GAUGAAGAACGCAGCGAAAUGCGAUAAGUAAUGCGAAUUGCAGAAUUCCGUGAGUCAUCGAAUCUUUGAACGCACAUUGCGCCCCUUGGUAUUCCGAGGGGCAUGCCUGUUCGAGCGUCAUUAUAACCCCUCAAGCUCAGCUUGGUGUUGGGGCCUGCUGCACUGGCAGCCCUUAAAAUCAGUGGCGGCGCCAUCUGGCUCUAAGCGUAGUAAUUCUUCUCGCUAUGGAGUCCUGGUGGAUGCUUGCCAUCAACCCCCAAUUUUUCUAUGGUUGACCUCGGAUCAGGUAGGGAUACCCGCUGAACUUAAGCAUAUCAAUAACGGAGGA
rnacentral:misc_RNA from 1 species